UACAGAGGUCCCAAGCGUUGUUCGGAUUUACUGGGCGUAAAGGGCGCGUAGGCGGCCACGACAAGUCAGUUGUGAAAUCUCUGGGCUUAACUCAGAACGGUCAACUGAUACUGUCGGGCUAGAGUGCAGAAGGGGCAACUGGAAUUCUCGGUGUAGCGGUGAAAUGCGUAGAUAUCGAGAGGAACACCUGCGGCGAAGGCGGGUUGCUGGGCUGACACGUGACGCUGAGGCGCGAAAGCUAGGGGAGCAAACGGG
rnacentral:rRNA from 1 species